rnacentral:rRNA from 1 species
AUUGAACGCUGGCGGCAGGCUUAACACAUGCAAGUCGAGCGGGGAUAGGGUGCUUGCACCUGAUUCCUAGCGGCGGACGGGUGAGUAAUGCUUAGGAAUCUGCCUAUUAGUGGGGGACAACGUUCCGAAAGGGACGCUAAUACCGCAUACGUCCUACGGGAGAAAGCAGGGGAUCUUCGGACCUUGCGCUAAUAGAUGAGCCUAAGUCGGAUUAGCUAGUUGGUGGGGUAAAGGCCUACCAAGGCGACGAUCUGUAGCGGGUCUGAGAGGAUGGUCCGCCACACUGGGACUGAGACACGGCCCAGACUCCUACGGGAGGCAGCAGUGGGGAAUAUUGGACAAUGGGGGGAACCCUGAUCCAGCCAUGCCGCGUGUGUGAAGAAGGCCUUUUGGUUGUAAAGCACUUUAAGCGAGGAGGAGGCUUACCUGGUUAAUACCUGGGAUAAGUGGACGUUACUCGCAGAAUAAGCACCGGCUAACUCUGUGCCAGCAGCCGCAGUAAGAC